ensembl:lncRNA
GGAGGUGAGGUAGAGGAGCAGCUGAUGCACUUUUUUCUUUUCCACAGGAGGUGACAUGGAGGCUUCAAGGUCAAGAGGAAUUGCGGGAGUCAGGAAAGUCCUCCUCCCAACUGGAUGUCAAAAAACGUGCUAGCUUAUGCGGCUCCAACCCUUGCAGAGGCAAAUGUACUUCCCGAAGUAUCUGAAAAGAAACAAGGCUCCAAGGAUCAAAGGACUGCAGCUGUAACAGGGGAGCCUCAGCAGUGGGCCAAUCACCUGGACAAGGGAGUGCUGCUAGCUCUCACCUGCAGAUGGGACCAAGAAGUCAUGGAUCUGCCUGAUUAUCAUCAGGAGUCAAGAGAGGGAAACCACCUUUGACAGAAGAAAUUUUCAGGAGGAGGAGAAAAAUAAGAUCAUUUCUUCUUUGUACCUCCUCAAUUCUAGCCCACUAAAUUCAUUCAUUCAACAAAUAUUGAUUGAGUGCCUGCUAUGUGCCA